rnacentral:rRNA from 1 species
GACGAACGCUGGCGGCGUGCUUAACACAUGCCAGUCGAACGGAAAGGCCCUGCUUUUGUGGGGUGCUCGAGUGGCGAACGGGUGAGUAACACGUGAGUAACCUGCCCUUGACUUUGGGAUAACUUCAGGAAACUGGGGCUAAUACCGGAUAGGAGCUCCUGCUGCAUGGUGGGGGUUGGAAAGUUUCGGCGGUUGGGGAUGGACUCGCGGCUUAUCAGCUUGUUGGUGGGGUAGUGGCUUACCAAGGCUUUGACGGGUAGCCGGCCUGAGAGGGUGACCGGCCACAUUGGGACUGAGAUACGGCCCAGACUCCUACGGGAGGCAGCAAUGGGGAAUAUUGCACAAUGGGCGGAAGCCUGAUGCAGCAACGCCGCGUGCGGGAUGACGGCCUUCGGGUUGUAAACCGCUUUCGCCUGUGACGAAGCGUGAGUGACGGUAAUGGGUAAAGAAGCACCGGCUAACUACGUG